AUUGAACGCUGGCGGCAGGCUUAACACAUGCAAGUCGAGCGGAGGUGAGAUGCUUGCACCUCAUCUUAGCGGCGGACGGGUGAGUAAUGCUUAGGAAUCUGCCAUUUAGUGGGGGACAACAUUUCGAAAGGAAUGCUAAUACCGCAUACGUCCUACGGGAGAAAGCAGGGGAUCUUCGGACCUUGCGCUAAAUGAUGAGCCUAAGUCGGAUUAGCUAGUUGGUGGGGUAAAGGCCUACCAAGGCGACGAUCUGUAGCGGGUCCGAGAGGAUGAUCCGCCACACUGGGACUGAGACACGGCCCAGACUCCCACGGGGGGCAGCAGUGGGGAAUAUUGGACAAUGGGCGGAAGCCUGAUCCAGCCAUGCCGCGUGUGUGAAGAAGGCCUUUUGGUUGUAAAGCACUUUAAGCGAGGAGGAGGCUACUAGUAUUAAUACUACUGGAUAGUGGACGUUACUCGCAGAAUAAGCACCGGCUAACUCUGUGCCAGCCGCCGCGGUAAAAC
rnacentral:rRNA from 1 species